rnacentral:tRNA from 1 species
GCACCCGUAGCUCAGCUGGAUAGAGCGUUGGUUUGCGGAACCAAAGGUCACAGGUUCGAACCCUGUCGGGUGUACCA